UACGUAGGGAGCAAGCGUUGUCCGGAAUCAUUGGGCGUAAAGCGCGCGUAGGCGGCCCUGUAAGUCCGUUGUGAAAGUCAAAGGCUCAACCUUUGAAAGCCGAUGGAUACUGCAGGGCUAGAGUACGGAAGAGGCGAGUGGAAUUCCUGGUGCAGCGGUGGAAUGCGCAGAUAUCAGGAGGAACACCAAUAGCGAAGGCAGCUCGCUGGGACGUUACUGACGCUAAGGCGCGAAAGCGUGGGGAGCGAACAGG
rnacentral:rRNA from 1 species